AAUACCCAGAGAGGAAGACUGAAAAGGCCUGCCCACCACCCCAAUCUAGCAGGUAUCCCUGCUGAGACCAUCUGGGGGUCAAAAGGAGUAGAGAGCCAGAAUCUAAGUAGCCUCAGGCCCUUAGCUCCACCCCUACCAAGCCAUUAGCUUCUAGAUAAAGGAUAGUUUGUGACAUCAGAAAACCUGCCAGUCACACUAAGGGUGUGCCCCACCACGGCCCCUUAACUCUGACUUUCAGGGCUGUUUGCAGUAGGCACAGGUGGAUACCUGCAGUUAGUCCCAAAGCUGGAGUCCACUGACCGCCUGGGAGGGCCAAAGAUGGAGGGGGCAUCUCUGAAACUUUGGGAGGGUCUGUGAGGAAGCCACACAGGAAAUGGCCAGUCAAGGUGGCUGCUGUCUUUCCCAGCCACAUUCUCAGCCUGACCAUUGUUAAUGUCCCAUGGUCCUAGCUAGCUAGUGGGGCAAUGUCCGUUUCCCAUCCAACUUUCAAGUAACUAGUACACCCAGGCCUGCCUGGUGUGAGACUGCAGCAGCAUAUAGUCCCUAAGGGCCUCAUGUACGGUCUGCAGUCUUUCCUGGCCUCCCCAGGUUCCACACUACAUACUAUUCUUCUGGGAACCCUUCCGACCUGCAACACCUCGUGCCAUUAGCUAAUCACUGCUACUCCGUGUAUACAGAAGGAAGCCAUUGCAUCUAGGGAUGACCAUCUAAUUUUCCAUCACCCCAAAUGCCUGGAACCUGUUAGAGCCCAGUGGCCACGGUACUUCUAUGAAAACUCAGAUGUUCUCUCAAAAACAAGACAAGAUCCGGGCUGCUCCAGGUGCCUAUGUGUAGUCCUGUAUUUCUUAGGGAAAAGAUGCCACAGGCAGGCUACACUUGCCCAGCUACACAGGGAAGCUCCCUAGAGGCGGUUUCUUGGGGAGCAGUUCUCCUGAAGCUCGUGAAAGUGAUAGUCCUUUCAGGGGUCACAGCUUGCAAUGGUGACAGAGCACUAUAGAACCAAUUCACUGUGUGAAACACCAACAGCAUCUUUAUCGUUCGUUUUGACCCCGGGGAAGUGGACAAUAGAAAACCAGAGACCAUGAGAAUGAACUCUGGGUCCUGGCCCCAUUCACACUGCCCUCCAAACCCACAAUCCUGCCUGCUAAGACUGGUUCUUCUGACGUAGGACUGGCUACCAGAGCGGGUCCACAGGUAAGAAUUUGUGCGGCAGAAUGUAACCUCCCUUCGCUGGCUCCCCCAUCACAUUGUCCCCUGUGAAGGGCUUCACCUUGACCUGCAGAGGGUUGGCCUAGAGUUAGGAGUUGCCAGGCUACACGUGAAGUAGCUCCUACAGGGACAGCCAGAACCGAGGGUCUGAAUGGACUAGGCUCAUGCGUAAAAUAACCCGGCCCAGCUCCUGAUCUGCCUGCUUGUACAUUCUUGGGCCUCGUUGGCCUUCCCCCAACACACACACCCCACAGCCCUUGUGCUUGUAUGGCAUUCUUGGUAGGUUGGUGAGUGUGGGAUACAAACCUGUAUCAGCCUCAGCAUAUGUGGUGGGUCAGGAUGCUCCACUUACUCUCAUAGUGUAAGAUGCCACUGUCUGUGGAGCAGAGAAGAGGGACAUCUGUUAGAGAAAUGUUCUACACCAAUGGACUCACACUGCCCCCAUCCCCUCUCAUUUGCUUUGCAGGUCAGGAUGGCACAGCCCUGGUACAUUGGACUAUAGAGAUCAUGAAUACCCAAAGCCAUACAAGUCAGAGACGUAAAUAGCAUGCAGCCCUGAACAAGGACCCAUGACUUGGCCCCAGAACAGCAUCUCCCUACUGAACAAACUAUGAGGCUGCGCUUCUGCACACAUUAUUUUCAUAGCCCUGGCAAUAGUCCCUAAGCUAGGCCUUGUCAUCUCACUACAUAGAUUACACAGGAUCACAGAAGAAUUGCCAAGAGCCCACGACCUCCAAAGGCAAGGUCUUCAUGUCUCCAGAAAGGCAUUUUGAGAGAGAGAAAGUCCUCAGACUAUGGAAAGAAAUAAGAACUGGGAUUCUGUUGCCCUGGGAAGCAGAGUUCUUGCCCUAACUGUUUAGAACCAGACAGAAAGCCAAUGAGGAGGCUUGGAAUGGUCUUCAAAGGACAGGUGGGUGGAGCCAAAACCCCUGGUCAGUCUGCUGGAGGGGUUUGCAGCAAAAGGCACAGGUCUAGACAAGGCUGGGUGGGUCUAAAGAUAGACCGGCAAGACCUGCCUGGGACCACAGAGAAGUCGUUCAGAGAAGGCUCUGCUACUAGUCCUCAAAUCCCCUGGCCCCAGCUCAGUGAUAGUGUGUCUCUCCACUGAGGGACAGUGGCCAGGCAUAGGGGACAGCAGAGAAGCAGGGACAAGUGCAUAAAACCCAGACUGCUCUGGCUGUGAACCUAAGAGUGUACACUCUCUUGGCCAAAUGCUCCAAACCACGUUCUCCCAAGGCAGCAUUGGCUUGGGACCUCCCCACCCGCCUCUCCAUCAUCUUUUGCCACUGAUCACUGAACAUCUUGGCUGGACACUUGAUCUUCCUCAGAUAGUCAGCAGUACAUAAUCCCCAUGGGGCAGAAGGAUGAGGGACAACUCCAGGAACAAUGAACGAAGGCAUGAAUUAGCAUAAAUAAUGAAUAGGUAUGAAUUGAUGCUCACGGUGGUUACAAGAAUCAAUCUCAUCAAUCAGGAAGUGGACAGUUCAUUCUUUCGAGGAUCUGUGUCCUGACUCUUCAGCUAAAUGGCUGGAAAAAAGCAUUGUCUGAAUAAAUGACAGAAUGCCAAGACUCAGGAGAAAUUGCAUUGUGUGGCCUGGUAGGUGCUUGUAAGAGUUUAUGGAUUAGAAGUAACCAGAGAUCUCCCAGCAGACAGAGGAGUAGCAGGUUCUGGUCCCAGGGAAAUAGCAGAGUCCCUUGUGCUGAGUGAACCUUUUCAGGGUUCUGGGUAGAUGAAAAGGUUUGCUUGUGGUCAUUGGCUAAGCCAAGGAUUGAACCUGGGUCAGUUGCUCUCCACAGUCCGUUUUAACCACUGACAGGCUCUGGAGCUAAAUUGGACCCCGUGGCCUCUGCAGAACUUAACUGGACACUCCAGACAGAAUAAAGUGCUGACACAGUCCUGGGUAUUAAUAGUCCUAGCUUCCUGGGCUCCCCAGGCCCUGCUGAAGCCAGCCCAGGUCAUGGCCCCACCCUGGAGGGUAAGGUGACUUUCCUGGCAGAGAAUUGAUCAAACAUUUCCAGGCCCCCCGUGGACUGAAGAAUCUGAGCCCAAAGGCUCCAGUGUCCCCAUACUGGAGACUACUUAGCAGUCUGAGUCUUGCUUCUUUUCAGUUCCUGACUGGAUACCUUCACUUCUCUGAGCCUCACUUUCAGUAUACUGACUGAAAGCCACACAUUUGGCACUCCCCCUCAGGGCAUAGGGUCUACCUGUACAAUGUCCAUUAUAUUGGUAAAUUUUCACAUUGUUCCAGUUACCUGAAGCUGGUGUUGGAAGGAGGAUACCCCUUCUCUGUUUCAGAUCUAAGUAUGUUUGUUUCAAAUUUUCCUCCAAACCCCUUGUCUGGUAAUGUGUGACCCUGUAACAGUAAGGGAAAGAAAUAGCAAAACAGCUGAAGGACAGAGACAGUGCUAGGCAGGGUGGCACAUGCGUUUAAUCCCUGACCUCAGGAGGCAGAGGCUGACAGAGCUCUGUGAGUUCAAGACCAGCAUGGUCUACAUAGUGAGACCCUGUCUCAAAUGGAAAUCAAAUCAUGUCCUUCAGAACAGCUGAGUGUCAACUAUUACCAAGAGAUGUCACUAUUGUUUAUCCAGUGAUGUGACGGUACCUGCCGUGGAAGAGAAUGCGGAGUUCCAGCCGACUGCCUUAGCUUCUGAGCCAGUUUCUACUAGAUGUCAUAGUGACCAGUUUGAUGAAGUCAUUUCUAUCUGUUGUUAUUUGUUUUCUUACUUGUCUACCCAGAAUUCACUCUCCCGGGGAACAUCAGCUGACUGCCUCAAAGGGGCUUCUUCAGCCAAUUUCUGAUGAAUGCUUUCAGCACCGAAUAUGACGAUAUUUGUCAUCUGUCUGCCCAUCUGCUUGCCUGCCUGUCUGUCUAUCUAUCUAUCUAUCUAUCUAUCUAUCUAUCUAUCUAUCCAUCCAUGAGUCUGUCUGUCUAUCUGCCUAUUUGUCUAUACAUCUGGCUGGCUGCCUGCCUAUAUGUCUGUCUGUCUGUCUGUCUACCUAUCUAUC